rnacentral:rRNA from 1 species
GAUGAACGCUAGCGGCAGGCCUAACACAUGCAAGUCGAGGGAGGAGCUUUCGGGCUUCGACCGGCGUACGGGUGCGUAACGCGUAUACAAUCUGCCUUUCACAUAGGGAUAGCCCGAAGAAAUUUGGAUUAAUACCUAAUGGUAUAUAGGAGUGGCAUCACAUUUAUAUUAAAGCUAAGGCGGUGAAAGAUGAGUAUGCGUUCUAUUAGCUAGUUGGAGAGGUAACGGCUCCCCAAGGCGACGAUAGAUAGGGGUUCUGAGAGGGAUAUCCCCCACACUGGUACUGAGAUACGGACCAGACUCCUACGGGAGGCAGCAGUGAGGAAUAUUGGACAAUGGUCGGAAGACUGAUCCAGCCAUGCCGCGUGCAGGAAGACGGCCUUAUGGGUUGUAAACUGCUUUUGCAGGGGAAGAAUAAGGACUACGCGUAGUUUGAUGACGGUACUCUGCGAAUAAGCAUCGGCUAACUCCGUGCCAGCAGCCGCGAUAAUACGGAGGAUGCGAGCGUUAUCCGGAAUCAUUGGGUUUAAAGGGUCCGUAGGCGGGCUAAUAAGUCAGAGGUGAAAGCGCUCAGCUCAACUGAGCAACUGCCUUUGAAACUGUUAGUCUUGAAUGGUUGUGAAGUAGUUGGAAUGUGUAGUGUAGCGGUGAAAUGCUUAGAUAUUACACAGAACACCGAUAGCGAAAGGCAUAUUACUAACAAUUAAUUGACGCUGAUGGACGAAAGCGUGGGGAGCGAACAGG